AUAAUCUUCUAAACUGUUCGACGUACUUAAACUUAAAGCAGUUGCUUUUUUUUUUAGUUACACUAAAACGUUCUCUUCCUACUAUACUAACUAAAUUAAACCAUAUAGAUAAUAAUUUGCUCUAUAAAAUGUUUGUCUACCACAAUGGUACGGUAGGAAGGGUUGGGUAUGGGUUCCAAAAUUGAGGUUGAGGGUUCAUUGGGGGAAAUGUUCCAGGUGCAGGUGGAUAGGAUGGGG